GGAGACUUCGACUUGAGAGAAGUUCUGGAGUCUCCCUAUUUUUUCAACUAAAUGAACAGAUACAGCUCACUUUUCAAGGAAUCCUUACUUCUAAAUGGCCUGGUAAUGGUAGCUCCUUAUUUCUUUGAUAUUUUUUAAUACCUUUAGCCGAUCACCAACAGAAAAAAGCUAGCCCUUCUGUUAUUGGCUGCCCUUCAAUCAUCACGAGUUUUCUUUCAAACAUGUCAGAAAAAUCCAUACAAGAAGGUGUUGGGGACAAUUGAGAUUCUUCCGCAACGUCUUGACAGUUAUGACCAAUUGUUGUGGAGCCCGGAUUUUGAGAUGAGAUGAUGGUGCUCCGGUUACUUUAAUGGCUGAACGAGCAUAUCAUGCUAAUGACACGCUACGAACAUUUUGUCGGUGGUAAAAUAGAGGGAAUUAAGGUUAUUCAGUGUAUACAAUGGGGAGGGUUGAAUCAAACGACUAACAAAGAUUCAUGUACAUGCUUCUUUUCUACACUUGUCCAGGUGCAUAACUGAUCCCAAAGGGUUGAGUUAUAAAGAACUGGAAACUCACUGGAGAGGGCCAAAUUGAUGUUAACUUGACACUUGUAUUGUCGUGGUUAGCUCGACUCACCUUUGUAUAAUACAAAAGGCAAUGCAUGUAGUUCUAGAGACAUUUUGUGG
rnacentral:lncRNA from 1 species